AGGGUUCGAUUAUGGCUCAGGACGAACGCUGGCGGUGCGCCUUAUGCAUGCAAGUCGAGCGAAGCUUUUCAGUAGUUUACUACAGAAAAUGACUGAGCGGCGAACGGGUGAGUAACGCGUGAGCAACCUACCUUAGUUACUGGGAUAGCCCGAGGAAACUCGGAUUAAUACCGGAUAUUCUUAUUUGAUCACAUGAUUUUUUAAGGAAAGGUCAGCCGAACUAAGAUGGGCUCGCGUUCUAUCAGCUAGUUGGUAGGGUAAUGGCCUACCAAGGCUACGACGGAUAGCUGGUCUGAGAGGACGAUCAGCCACACUGGGACUGAGACACGGCCCAGACUCCUACGGGAGGCUGCAGCAGGGAAUAUUGCGCAAUGAGCGAAAGCUUGACGCAGCGACACCGCGUGUGGGAUGACGGAUCUAGGUUUGUAAACCACUUUCAGGAGGGAAGAAAAUGACGGUACCUCCACAAGAAGCCCCGGCCAACUACGUGCCAGCCGCCGCGGUAAUUC
rnacentral:rRNA from 1 species